GAGUCACUCUAAUAUGGAAAGGAGGACAGUCGGGAGUUGGGCAGCAUCAGAUUACCAGCCACGGGAGUGUGCCAUCUUGUAAGCAGAUCCUCCGACCCCAGUCAAGCCUUCAGAUGACUGCAGCCCAGGCUUACUUCUGACUCAGGCUCAUGUGAGACUCCAAGAGCUGCCCAGACAAGUUGCUGCCAAAUUCCUGGCCCACAGAAACUAAAGAACAUUCUGGCUACAACUUUGAUAAAGAAUUUGAUCUCAGCAAGGCUCCAGGGGUGGAGUGUGCAAUGACUAGCCGGAAAAUUAGAGGUAUUAUCUCAGUGAGUGAUGGCAGUGGUCUGAAGUCAGAUAGGUAAGUAAACAACUUCGAAGUACUUACAAAUCCUAUAAAUGAAUCCCACUUUACUCAUAUUAACAGUUGUAUGUUUGUGCAAAUAGAAAUCAACCUCUGCUGUCAAGUCAUUUCCUGAAUGAGGCAGAGUCCUGCUGACCCUGGUAUGUGCUGCCACUGCCAUGUGAAAACUCUCUGAGAAGCCUCUUGAAGACACAGCUUUGGUUAAAUGUAUGGAUGUGGCCCAUAUCAAACUUCCCAU
rnacentral:lncRNA from 13 species